rnacentral:rRNA from 1 species
AGUGAACGCUGGCGGUAGGCCUAACACAUGCAAGUCGAACGGCAGCACAGUAAGAGCUUGCUCUUACGGGUGGCGAGUGGCGGACGGGUGAGGAAUACAUCGGAAUCUACUUUUUCGUGGGGGAUAACGUAGGGAAACUUACGCUAAUACCGCAUACGACCUACGGGUGAAAGCAGGGGAUCUUCGGACCUUGCGCGAUAGAAUGAGCAGAUGUCGGAUUUGCUAGUUGGCGGGGUAAAGGCCCACCAAGGCGACGAUCCGUAGCUGGUCUGAGAGGAUGAUCAGCCACACUGGAACUGAGACACGGUCCAGACUCCUACGGGAGGCAGCAGUGGGGAAUAUUGGACAAGGGGCGCAAGCCGGAUCCAGCCAUACCGCGUGGGUGAAGAAGGCCUUCGGGUUUUAAAGCCCUUUUGUUGGGAAAGAAAAGCAGCAGGUUAAUACCCCGCUGUUCUGACGGUACCCAAAGAAUAAGCACCGGCUAACUUCGUG